rnacentral:sRNA from 1 species
GCAGAGAUCAAGAAUGGUGCUUGUGGCAGCAGAGGGCAUGGAAUGAGGAACUAGGCAUCUUCAACUCCUUUUGCCUUUCCCUACAGGAAUGGGAUGCUGGGCCCGGGAGGUGCUGGUCCCCGAGGGGCCCUUGUACCGCGUGGCUGGCACAGCUGUCUCCAUCUCCUGCAAUGUGACCGGCUAUGAGGGCCCUGCCCAGCAGAACUUCGAGUGGUUCCUGUAUAGGCCCGAGGCCCCAGAUACUGCACUGGGCAUUGUCAGUACCAAGGAUACCCAGUUCUCCUAUGCUGUCUUCAAGUCCCGAGUGGUGGCGGGUGAGGUGCAGGUGCAGCGCCUACAAGGUGAUGCCGUGGUGCUCAAGAUUGCCCGCCUGCAGGCCCAGGAUGCUGGCAUUUAUGAGUGCCACACCCCCUCCACUGAUACCCGCUACCUGGGCAGCUACAGCGGCAAGGUGGAGCUGAGAGUUCUUCCAGAUGUCCUCCAGGUGUCUGCUGCCCCCCCAGGGCCCCGAGGCCGCCAGGCCCCAACUUCACCCCCACGCCUGACGGUGCAUGAGGGGCAGGAGCUGGCACUGGGCUGCCUGGCGAGGACAAGCACACAGAAGCACACACACCUGGCAGUGUCCUUUGGGCGAUCUGUGCCCGAGGCACCAGUUGGGCGGUCAACUCUGCAGGAAGUGGUGGGAAUCCGGUCAGACUUGGCCGUGGAGGCUGGAGCUCCCUAUGCUGAGCGACUGGCUGCAGGGGAGCUUCGUCUGGGCAAGGAAGGGACCGAUCGGUACCGCAUGGUAGUAGGGGGUGCCCAGGCAGGGGACGCAGGCACCUACCACUGCACUGCCGCUGAGUGGAUUCAGGAUCCUGAUGGCAGCUGGGCCCA